rnacentral:rRNA from 1 species
UACGUAGGGUCCGAGCGUUAAUCGGAAUUACUGGGCGUAAAGCGUGCGCAGGCGGUUUUGUAAGCCAGGUGUGAAAGCCCCGGGCUCAACCUGGGAACUGCAUUUGGGACUGCAAGGCUGGAGUACGGCAGAGGGAGGUGGAAUUCCACGUGUAGCAGUGAAAUGCGUAGAGAUGUGGAGGAACACCGAUGGCGAAGGCAGCCUCCUGGGCUAGUACUGACGCUCAUGCACGAAAGCGUGGGGAGCAAACAGG